GCUGGUAUGGCUCAGUUGGUAGAGCAGUUGAUUCGUAAUCAACAGGUCAUCGGUUCGAGUCCGAUUACCAGCUCCA
rnacentral:tRNA from 1 species